UACGUAGGGUGCAAGCGUUAAUCGGAAUUACUGGGCGUAAAGCGUGCGCAGGCGGUUUUGUAAGACAGAUGUGAAAUGCCCGGGCUUAACCUGGGAACUGCAUUUGUGACUGCAAGGCUAGAGUGUGUCAGAGGGGGGUAGAAUUCCACGUGUAGCAGUGAAAUGCGUAGAUAUGUGAAGGAAUACCGAUGGCGAAGGCAGCCCCCUGGGAUAACACUGACGCUCAUGCACGAAAGCGUGGGGAGCAAACAGG
rnacentral:rRNA from 1 species